rnacentral:rRNA from 1 species
ACAGUCACACGAGUUUGAUCUUGGCUCAGAACGAACGCUGGCGGCAGGCCUAACACAUGCAAGUCGAGCGAACCCUUCGGGGUUAGCGGCGGACGGGUUAGUAACGCGUGGGAAUAUACCCUUUGGUACGGAAUAGCCUCGGGAAACUGAGAGUAAUACCGUAUGUGCCCUUCGGGGGAAAGAUUUAUCGCCAAAGGAUUAGCCCGCGUUGGAUUAGAUAGUUGGUGGGGUAAUGGCCUACCAAGUCUACGAUCCAUAGCUGGUUUGAGAGGAUGAUCAGCAACACUGGGACUGAGACACGGCCCAGACUCCUACGGGAGGCAGCAGUGGGGAAUCUUAGACAAUGGGGGCAACCCUGAUCUAGCCAUGCCGCGUGAGUGAUGAAGGCCUUAGGGUUGUAAAGCUCUUUCAGCUGGGAAGAUAAUGACGGUACCAGCAGAAGAAGCCCCGGCUAACUCCGUG